rnacentral:rRNA from 1 species
CCUACGGGGGGCAGCAGUGGGGAAUAUUGCACAAUGGGGGAAACCCUGAUGCAGCGACGGCGCGUGAGUGAAGAAGGAUCUCGGUACGGAAAGCUCUAUCAGCAGGAAAGAAAAUGACGGUACCUGACUAAGAAGCCCCGGCUAACUACGUGCCAGCAGCCGCGGUAAUACGUAGGGGGCAAGCGUUAUCCGGAUUUACUGGGUGUAAAGGGAGCGUAGACGGGGCUGCAAGUCCGGCUUGAAAGCCCAUGGCUUAACCCUGGUACUGCUCUGGAAACUGUUGGGCUUGAGUGCGGGAGGGGCAGGCGGAAUUCCUAGUGUAGCGGUGAAAUGCGUAGAUCUUAGGAGGAACCCC